AGACAUAUCAACAAAUAUUAACAGUGCAGAGUGAUUCAUCAACACUGUAAGUAUGUGAAAGGUUCACUGGCAGAAAAGAGAAGGGGGUGAUUAUUUCCUCCCAGCUCCCCUUCCCCGCUGGGACAGAGUAAUUGCAGACGUAUUUGCAGAAGAGGUGACACCUACCUACUCUGGGUUUUGGAGAGCGUUCUGAGCACCUGUCUGCUGUCUGAUUCAGCUGUGAGUGCAUGGAGACCCAAGUAUGGAUCAGGAACACGUGACAGGAGACGGUGCAAGCACUGCAGCAAAGAGUCCCUGGUUCCAGGUCCCAGCCUGUCUCACUGGUAUUAACACUUGUAGAGCAUUAUUGGCAAUCACUCAAAUGCAACAAUAUCAACUCAAGUUGGAGUCCUUUGGUUCGAAACACAGUAAGUGGAUCACAGUUUCUCUUGGAGGAAAUAGAAACCCCCGCUUGUCACUCUGCACAGAGCAGGAAGUUUCUCUUCUUUGGGUACAUGUGUGAGUGCUAGGUCUCUUCAGCUAUGUCUGAAACUUUGUGACCCCAUGGGCUGUAACCCCCCAGGCUCGUCUGUCC
rnacentral:lncRNA from 1 species